ACGACUCGGGGAUGAGGAAGCUCGGGCGUGUUGGGGUGUGCCAGUGAGGUGGUUUGUCUGAGGUGUUGAGACAGACAAAGAAAAUGAGCCUUGAAAACAGAGUGAGCCACAUGGUGCAGGGUGAGGCCAGGAGGCGGGAUCACACCCACACCUGAGAAUGAAUUUACAGCCACGGUAAGGGUUAAGUCUUCAGAGACGGAUCUGGAGUCACACUGGGCUCAACCAAGCCUCCUAUGCCUGGCUUCACUUUCCUCCUACAACUAAGACACAACCUGACUAGCUGAAAUACCCUCAUCUGUGAUGUAUGGCAACCUCUCAAUCCAUGAGCUGAAAUGAACGUUCCUUUGGUUGACUUUGGCAGACUUUUGUGUCACAGAGGAAAUAUGGAAUGAGAAGGAUGCCAUGGAGUAAAAGGUCUGAAGGCUUACAAGAUCUAGAAGCUUGAUGUAUGCAAAGGCUCAGGAAAAUGGAUGAAACUGGCCACCAACCUGUUAGGUGAAACCAGACAGACACAGAAAGAUAAACAGCACACCUUCUCCCCCAUAUGUGGAAUCCAGACUUAAAGUAAAACUCACGGGAACAAGAGGAACCAUCUGAGAAGGAAAGACCUCUCAGGAGGAGGGAAGGGAGGGAAGAGAAGACAUGGCCAUGGAGAAGUAACUGAGGUAAGUUGUAUUCAUGAGGGGCGGUGCAUCUCAAUGACUCCCAUGCUCACACAGUUGAGAGCGCUGAUGUUAAUGUGGAAAGCCAUCACUUAAAUGCACACAGUGUGGUGCCCCACAGUAGACCUGAUAGACCACGUGGAU
rnacentral:lncRNA from 1 species